GGAGCUGCGCGGGCGGGAGCCCUUCCCGAGAUGCACCGGGAGGCGGCGCCCAGCGACUCCGGCUCCCGCCCGGUCUUUUGUGCUGCGCCGCUGGAACGCGUUUGAGGCCCGGGAAAUAGCCGCCGCCGGACGGUCGCUUUGGGGCGGGCGAAGUCCUUUUCCACACUUUUUCCAUUCUUCGUCUCGUGACGCCGACAAAAUAGGUAAUGUACCAGCAUCAUAACAAGGUUCAAGGGUGGCACAUCUCACCCGUGCACGUGAAUACCCAGUCAUCAUGUUUAUGAACUCCAAAGGAUCACCCUACAGAUUCUGAGCAAAGCUGUCACCAUGCUCCCAUCAGGCUGCUAUAGAGUCCUUAGCAGUCCUGUGACAUAUCCCUCAGGAGGUACUGAGAACAUGUGCCUGUGAGUCAGCCUUUCUAAUAGAAUGUGAGCUCCAGAAGGCCAGGGACUUGGUCUGCUUUGUUCAUUGCUGAAUCUCCAGUACCUAAAACAGUGGCUGGCCCCUAUGUAUUGGAUCAUAGCAGGUACUACAUUCAUCUCUCUACUAGGUAGCACGUUCAACGUGGAAUCUAAGAUGGUCCUGACAAAACAACAGAGGCAAGCCAUGCCCUUGUCCCAUGGGAUUAGUGCCAGCCAGCCAGCAACAAGAAAUUUCCUGCAAUAGGACUGUUAUCCACUAGUCCAUCAGUCUGAGGGGGUAAAGAAUGAAAUUCUUCCUGACUUUUAAAACUCAAACUUCUAAGUGCACCGACCUGACCGAUUUGACUCCCUUCCUGAUCAGUGCCAUGGAAGCAGUUCAGGUGCACCAGAGACACAAAGCCAGCCUCAAAGAAUCACUCUAAUCUAAACAUAGAGGGCUCUUCGUGUCCUCUAGCGCCCAGACUUGGUUUGAAGCAGAGAACCCUGGCCUGCACUUCCCAGGGUUUCUAGAGGUGAUGGUGCAGAGUAGGCCCUGGGAGACUGGUGGAGAAAUAAGCUGCCAGGGAAGCCACCACUUCAGACUCUGCUAAUGUUAUUUCAGAGGCUGGGAUGAUCACAGACAAUCCUGGUCAGCUCUUUAAUUACUAAUUCAUUUUUCACCUUUGCAGACUUCUCUAGAGGUUAUUGUUAGCCUGUGAGAUAGCUGUAUCAUUUCAUUGAUUUCUAUGUUAUGACAUACUCUUGGAUACAGUUGUCAAACGUUUCUUUGACAGGAAUAACUUUAUUCCUGUAAUUAAGCAUUAGAGAGCACCCCACACGGGGAUACAUAAGCCACAGUGUUCUGUCUGUAUCCCCAGGUUCACCCAAACUGGAGAUCUCAUUCUUUGCUUCCUCCUUUUGCCCUCUUCCCCUGCACCCCAAUCACACUCGUCAAUUCUGUGUUCAUAGUAUCUCCAACAUCCUUCUCUUUCCAUCCCAUUCCCUGUGUUUUACCCUUGGGAGGUGUUUAGUAAAUGCUGACCAACUGAUACAAUUUCAUUUCCCUUUUUAUUCCUUGCAUUUGAAUAUGACACUAGUUUUAAUUUAGUUAAGUGUUAAGUUUUAUUUAAAACCUUUAGGCUAUGGUGUAUUGAAGUAACUUUGGGACACAUUCUCUUUAGCCAGAUAAUUCAAUGACAAAAAAACUUGAAAAGCUGAAGUUUUGUUCUUGUUAUAGAGGAACCAAAUUCCUCAUUUCUUUUAGGAGUAUCUUUUGAAAUACAUGUUAUUUCCAGCUUAAAGAACUUAGAAAUAAAGUCUUACCCCAAUAGAUGACUAGA